GGGGGGGGGGGGGGCCCCUGGAAGGAUAGAUAGCACAUCAAAAUGGUGAUGAACCUAGCCAAAAAAAAAAAACCUAGCUGCUGUUUUUUUGUAUCCUUUAAAGCCUAUAUCCAGGCUUUUAAAUGCCUUUUUUGGUAUUGCCUGAUAAGAAGUCAAAUAAGUUUUGGGGUUAAGAACUGAGAACAUAAACCAAAGAAAACCAAGAAUAAUUAAACUACUGACCGCCAGAGGAGUCUCUCUCCAGCUUCUAGAUAGUAAUUUUACUUUUUUGGCCAAAAGUUUCUUCUUCAGCAGAGUUCUCAAUUCUGAGUUAAUGUAGCUUCUCUUUGAGCUCUCCUCCCAAAGUCCACCAUCUCAUUUUCUAAGACAAGCUCAAGCUCACCAAAUCAUCACUGUAAAAAAAGCUUCAGGGGAGAGACAUUACUCUCUUAAUUCAAAAGCUUCAUGUCACAGAGACAGCCAAAAUCAUGUGACUGCUAGCCUCAGCUCAAGGAGUAUGCCCAAAUCAACACAAAACAGGAUUCUUUCUCUUUUUAUUAAUUUUUAAGGGGACUAGGAAGACAAACAAUUUGGUCAAGCUGAAGGUGACAGGUAUUGUUUUCUCAAUGCCCCAAUGAGGCUUCUCAAAUUCCUGAAGGUUAUCAAGUAAAGACCGGAGUUUCUGGGACUAAUGCAAAAACAGGGUCAAAAAGUAAAGCAGCCCUUUUAGAGGCAGUGGUGGAAGGCUACUGGCUUCCAAAGGAGAGUCUGCCUAAAAUCUCCAGGAACCCAGGACCUGUAGUGACCUUAAGUCAACCCAAUGCACAGACAACAGUAUCUUUUAUGGAUUGCCGUCAAUGUUCCCCAAUUUACAACUUUUUUUUUACCUUAAAAUCUCAAAUGUCUCACUACUUUAUGUGACAUAUAAAGUGACAAGGAAAACACAGCUCUCCUGGAUGAUGAGGUCUCCAUAGCAAAGCUCACCCCAGAGCACAGAGGCUAACUCUAUGCAUAGUGCUCUCCCACCCACUCCAAGUGUGGGUGCCCAGAUGGAGGCAAGGCUGAGCCACUAACAUGGGCAACUCCACAGUCUGGAAGCCUCCCACAAUCUUGAGGAAACAGGCUCCAUCCAACAGGGCUCAGAAGAAAUGACUGCCACCUCAACCGGGCAGCGGGAACUGCAGAGCUUCGGGUCUGACCUCUUUUGCAGUCUUUAAAAUAUGAACUAGAAGAGCCAUCCAUUAUUUAAUCACUAUUAAAUAAUCUCCUCCUUCCCCAUAGCUGCUUGAGUUAAUUGUCCUGCACAUCUCCAAUUUUUGGUAAAGAUGUGGAUUAUUUUCUGAAAUGCAGAUGGGACCGGGAUUAAGGUAUAUUAUUAAUUACAACCAACUCUCAUUUCUCUUAAAGCAAAAAUUCAUCCCACUGCAGUAUUUCCCUCAAUUCUAAAUCUACUUUUAACUAGGACGGGCUUGGAGAACACUUCAGAAAUAUUAAAAUCACACAUUUGUUGCAAAAAUCACAUUGUGGUUAUUAAAUCUUUUUUGUGAACUAAAAAAGUGAAUUAUGGCUCACGCUAAGCUGUUUUUUAAAAAAAAAAGAUGAAGGGCACUCCAACAAAGGCAUUAGUACAGAACUAGAUGGAAAUGAGAAACAGGUGAAGCAUGACACGUGAAACAAACACCCAGGUUUAACAAAAGAGAUUGCAUCUCUGGUUAAGGAGGCUUGAAAGGAGCCUCCAAUGAGCACUGUAUGUGGAGAAGAGAAAGGGGAAGGAGGAGGAGGAGGAAAGAUUCUACAUAGAACUUUUUUCUUCUUUUAAAAGCCACAAAUGGUGACUUUCUUCUUCUAAGCAAGCCUAAGAGACUUUACACAUCUGACUCCUAACAUCAAAACAGAAAAUAUUUCUUUGCAAUAAAGGAACUUGACCAUGGAACACAUUUACAAAACUACUGCAAAACACUGCCGGAGGGCAGUGACCUACUCUGCUCCCCAGAGGCUAUGAGAAGCAAGGCCUCAAACACCUCACUGUUCCAUGAGACUGCACAGCACAAUGCAGAGGGCGGAAAUCCUGCAGCGACACCACCUUCUAGGCCUUCCGUGGCCUCAGAGGGGGUGAUGCUCCCACACCCUUUGAUCCCUCCAGAUGGCUCAGCCUAGACUCAGCAGUGAAGGAGCCCUCUCCACUCAGGGCAGAUGGGGAGAUGGACACUUAUAAAAACAAAACACAGUCAAUUCAUUAACCAUUCCAUCCUGUUAUGUUUGCUAGGAGAAAAAUCAAGACUCCUGUUUCAAGGCUACUAUCUUUCUGGAAGGCUACAGAAAAUCUAACCUGGUUGACUCCUGGUAGUGCACCUCUCUCUCUCUCUCUCUCUCUCUCACACACACACACACACACACACACACCACGCCAAUGAAGUCCUGAUUCAAAAAGAUGAUUGCAUGACUUCACUGGUGUUUCCCCAAUGUCUGCAAUUUAUAAACUACGAUCAAAUUUUAAUUUAAAAAAAUUCACUGCUAUCUUUUUCUAUCCUGAGUAUGGUGGACUGUGAUGGAUGCUCCAGUAAAAACCAGAAUGUAGGACAUGCAAAUUCACUGUGUGCGAGAGACUAUGGAUCUACCCUAAACAUAGGAACCUCUAACCUGAAUGAGCACUGGUAAGAAUCUAUGGCAAAUAAACGUCAAUGAAAUAUUCUGCAAA